rnacentral:rRNA from 1 species
UGGGGAAUUUUGGACAAUGGGGGAAACCCUGAUCCAGCAACGCUGCGUGAAGGACGAAGGCCUUCGGGUUGUAAACUUCUUUUCCAGGGGACGAAAUCCCGCAAGGGUGUGACGGUACUCUGGGAAUAAGCCACGGCUAAAUAUGUGCCAGCAGCCGCGGUAAGACAUAUGUGGCGAGCGUUACUCGGAAUUACUAGGCGUAAAGCGCGUGUAGGCGGGUGCCUAAGUCCGCUGUGAAAUCUCCCGGCUCAACUGGGAGGGGUCAGCGGAUACUGGGCGUCUAGAGUAGGGUAGGGGAGACCGGAAUUCCAGGUGUAGCGGUGAAAUGCGCAGAUAUCUGGAGGAACACCGAUGGCGAAGGCGGGUCUCUGGGCCCUCACUGACGCUAAGACGCGAAAGC